CAAAAGGUCGCAGAGUUCAAGGGGGCCGAAUACUUUCGCAAGGCACUGUAUAUAUUUGUAUUUUUGGACCCCAUUUUCUCUCCAAUUUCGUCCUAUUGUUAGUUACAGUCUUGUUCCAUCGCUGCAACUCCCAUACAGACUCGGGAGAGGCGAAGUUUGAGAGCCAUGCGUCCUCCGAAACAUGACCCCGCCAAGCCGCGCUGUUUCUUGACUCACUGCUCGCUUAACCCGGAAGCUAGACGCACCAACGUGUCAGAGGAAAAACUGUACCGCAUGUCGACAUGAGUCAGCGUGCAUGUGCCCUGCCCACCACAAGGAGUUGCUAGAGCGCGAUGGGAGAAGGAUAUCCCGGACGGCCAAACCCUCCCCUAACCUGGACGACGCUGGGCCAAUUGUACGCUGCCUUAUGGGUCUCCCAAUCGCGGCCGGCUGCGACACAUCCUGGGAUCGAACCCGUGUCUGUAGUGGCGCCUUAGAGCGCUAUACCACUAGGGAGGCCGGUCAUAGCUGCUAUUUGAAAAAAGAAAUAGGAAUCCUAUAUCCCACCUCUUGCAGAAACACUGCCUGGCAUGGGAGCUGUGCGCAAUGAGUGAAGUGCUGAUCGAUUCAUUUUUGGAGGCACUGUACACAGGCAUAAAAGCUGGUCUAAUUUACUCGAUGGUCAACAAAGUGAGACAUUGUCCUGUGUUUUUUGGCUGUUUACAUUGUUUUGUUCACAAGUUUGGUUGUUUUUCAACUUGAGUCUGCUGCUUCAACUAAUAGCAAAGAGAUGUCCUUGUCGUAUCCCAAAUAUGACACGUGAAAGGACUCAAGUGGCCCAAAUACUAUGUUAACCUCCCACCCUUAAAGGGGCAGCUGAACAUUUUCUCUGAUAUUUUGAUUAUUACAAAAAAUGAAAAGAAAUUUAGCGUUAUACCACAUUACUUCUUACUAAUACAUUUAUUUUUUUAGAAACAGUACAAAGCAUGUAAUCCGUUUGUUUUUUGACUUAAUUAUGCAAAAAUAUUUUGUCUAGUACAAAAUCUGAGUGGCGGGGCCUCCCGAGUGGCGCAGCGGUCUAAGGCGUUACUACAACAAUCCCAUAAGUAUAGAAGGUAGUGUGAUGUUACAGCUAUCUUUAGACAUACAGUGUCAGGAUGGAUGGGCAGGAGAUCACCGGAGCUGAGUACCGGCACCUAACAUGUUCUACUGCUUGAGCUCCUGUUCCUUUUUUUUUUUAUAGAAUAUUAGCUCAAAAGUAUAGUGGAGCUCCUGUACCUAAAUAUAAACAGUACCGGCACCUAUUUCAGCUCAAGUCAAGCACUGCAGGUAUUGUGGCAAAGAUGUGUCCGUAGCAGAUUGCUAAAACGUUAGCCAGCUUAAUAUUAAUGCAGGUAGGCUACUCUGUUUUUGUCAGGCAAAACCAGAGAAAAUUAAACAAGCGCUUUCUGGUCACUGAUGUGGAUAUGUGCACCCGCCUUUGCGUGCUAAUGCUGAUGAUUGGUCAACAGUCAAGACGGGAAACGUUCUGUUUCUGAAGCACCGAUUAGAUGUUUUUAAAAUAAGAAUUUUGUGCAAUGCCCUAGACCUACGUUAGUAUCCACAUUUUAUAACCAAAUCUACAAAUCUAAAAUACAAAUGGUAGCCUAGUGUAUACUGUAUGUAGCCUAUUCAAAUAUGUAUCAAAAUAAUUAUAGGCCAACUCGCAACCACCCCAAAACCUUCACUGCUCUAGUUCUCAACCUGUGUUGAUUGACAGUUUGCUGGUCCAAUCAGAGGGUUGAGUGUGUGUUUCACUAGCCAGUCUGUUUUGUUUGCAAGUGCGAUACUGUCUCUGGGUGCCAGUAGAGUAAUCCACAGAGACUCCGUGCCACAAAAUGAUUGACAAAACGUUACAAAAUCUGGCCAGAUAAUUUCAAGUCAGUGGAGUCUUGAGGCGUCAAGUCUCAAGUUAUUUUAUUUUCUAUCAAGUCGAGUCUCAAAUCAUCAGAUUUGUGACUUCAGUCAGACUCCAGUCCAUGUCAUGUGACUAGAGUCCACAUCUGAUUAUUACAAGUCCAUUUACCACUAUGAAUAUUCUGAUGUGAAUCAAAAAUAUGCAUUCUCAGAGUUCUGUCACAUUACCAAGUGAUUCGUACAUUUGUAGAUAGACAUUCACAAGUCAAAUGGUUUGAGCAGACCUGGAGGACCUUUUUUACUCCUGGCCAAUCAGCUAAAACCACAGCCGCCUAUUGCUCCAACCAUUGGCUGGAUUGUUCCAUCAGUCAAAUCUCAGGAAUUAGCUUGAAGAGGAAAAGAGAAGUCAUUUCUACAAAGUAACAACGUUACUUAAUCCUCGGCCUGAAGUACUAGAAUAAAAUCUACUUGAAGGUUUCUCGUCUGAUUUCCAGGAGCCUGGUGGAGAUACAGUAGAUACAACCAUACUCCGAGUCCUGCAGGCCAUUUCCCUGCAUCCAGGUUGAGACCUACCAGCAGGAACAUGGAGCACUCCAUGUCAGUGCUACAGAGAGAAUAUUCCAAGGACCACCAAAGCCUUCUGGCCAACAACCUGCAAUCUCUCCAGAGUAGAGAAGUGAGUCUGCUGGGCCUUGGAACUCUAGAGCAGCACGUGUAAAAACCUGCCACCCUGUUGUCAGCCAUCAGCAGACAGUUAGUUCCCUGAGGAAGGAUGCAACUGUGAAGGCUUUUCAAUUGCCAAAUGUAGGGGGGAGGGGGUUGAUCCCCAAACGCAAUAAAGUUUUGUAGUUUUGUCUACUCAUGUUCUUUAAAAAAACAAAAACUGUUUAAUCCAUAUAAUUGUAUUUGUAAAAUGUUGCGAUAUGCCUGGCUGGGCCUCUCUUGCUUGCAGCGCACGCUGCCCAA